AUAGUUCGAUCGGAGGGUCAGAAAUCAAUCUCACAUGCCCGCAUCACACGCUUUCUUGAUAACUACGAGCGUACCCUUGCCUUUAGAGCAGCCACAACGCGGUAACGAGAGCAGUAAUCCUUAACUGUUUGGCAUUAAAAUAUUAAUAAAAGAAUAACGCGAGCUAAGGAUGAGUCCUUAAUUAGGUGAUUUGCGUUACGGUUACGUGAUGCGGUGGCGUGUUGUGAGUGGCUGCCAAUUGGUUUGUGUUUUAGGUAAAGAAAAAAUCAAUUCAUUUCGCGAACCGAAAAGAAAAAAAAAGUAUCUCCCCUCUCCGAGACGAAACGAAGGCGAUUGUGGAGACCUCGAUUCCGAAGAAAUCAAUGAAACGAAACCGAACCGAGAGGAACUAUGUAAUUCAAUAGUGACCCCUGUCAACAGAAUGUGUACAUGUAUAAAAAGGUACACGCUUCUUGAAUUUCAUUUGAAUAACCCUGACAAAAAGGACGGAGAUGCCAAGCAGUGCUAACGGACUAAGUAACGAAGCUAUCAAACUAUGAGACGGGGAAGUUUAUAAAAGUACUAGUGGUGUGUUCGCGCGGAGCUAUACCUUUGUUUUUGUUUCAUUGUAUGUGUUACACACUCUCUCUGAUGUUUCAGCGAGAUACUUUAUUUUGCUUAGUUUCCGCUAUGAAUGAUUAGAGUAACUUUAUCAGAUUGUCGUAGUAAAAUAUCUUUAUCGAUCAUGGUUGUUUGAGA